rnacentral:misc_RNA from 1 species
AAAAGCCCAGAACCUCCAUAGACACGUGUCACCCAGCCAAUUGGAUAUAUCUCCUUCAACUACAACCUCCAAAUUCGACGCCAUUACCACCAAAACGACAUUGCAAAAUGCACCGUUUCAACCCCAUCAUCCGCGGCUACCAGAGUCUCAACAAUAGAGCUGCCACCUCUGGAUCCCUUGUCUCGCGCUUAACAUCCCGGUCCGUAAUCCGGUUCGGUGGCCCAGACACCAUCAAAUUCCUUCAAGGUCUGCUAACCAACGAUGUGCGGAGAUUUGGUAAACAACCAGACGAGGGAACGUCGUGUUUGCCCUCUCCCAAUAUGCCUACCGUCUCUGUGCCGCCUAUUUACGCUGCUCUUUUGACUCCUCAGGGGAGGUUUUUGUACGAUUUGUUUUUGUAUAGACCGCCACGGUCUGGAGAGAAGCUUGAUAGUAGAGGGUCUGGACCCGGGUCGGACAAUGGUGAGUCGGUUGAACUGUUGGCGGAUGUCGACUCUUCGGUUCUUGAUGAACUAUUGCAGACUUUUAAAAGAUACCGUUUAAGAUCAAAGGUUGAGAUUGACAAUGUGGCAGAAAACUUCUCUUGCUGGCAGCGUUUUGGUGGGAAACUUUCUGAAAAAUCAAUAGUUGAAGAAGAACCAGAGGCAGCUAGCAUUGGCUGGGGCUCUGGUGUUGAUCAUUGUGCCAGUUCAACUGUACAUGGGGGUGAUCAUGGAUGGCAAUGGUUUAAGGAUCCUAGAUUGGAAUGUCUUGGUUUCCGAGGAAUCUUUCCAUCUAAUAAGACACCACCUAUGGUUGAAGUUGACAGACAAACAGAUGAAGAAAAUUAUCAACUGGGGCGAAUAGAGAAUGGAGUUGCUGAAGGCUCAACUGAGAUUCAAAAAGGUGAAGCAAUUCCACUUGAAUACAAUCUUGCUGGUUUAAAUGCAAUAAGCUUUGACAAAGGAUGCUAUGUGGGUCAAGAGCUUAUUGCUCGCACACAGCACAGGGUGGUCAUUCGAAAGCGUUUGCUUCCUUUAAUGUUUCUAGAUGAUAGUGGAAAAGAGAUGGAGCAGAGUUGCUCCUGGCUCGGAAGUGAUUGACACUGGAUCUGGCAAGAAGGUUGGGCCUGUGACAACUGCCCUUGGUUGUCGAGGACUGGGUCUUUUGCGAUUGGAAGAAGCAUUUAAAACGUCAGGUUCUUCGACCAUACAAGGUCAGGAAGAUGUCAAGGUUGAGGCUAUUAGACCAAAAUGGUGGCCAGCUGAAUGGUUUCCAAAGCAUCAACAGCAUAGUGCAGUUGCUUAGGAUGUUAACAUAGAAGGCAAGGGUUCCAUGUUUCUUGACUUUAUUUUGUCAAAGCAAACUGUACCGUUGAUCUGGAGCAUCCAUAAUGAAAAUUUUGGUCCUUGGUAGAAGCAGGAAUGGAAGUUGUUCUGUGCAAAAAAAAACUUGCCCGGAAUUGGAAUCUAACUUGCCCGGAAUUGGAAUCUUAGGCAAGGAUUAAGACUGUUGUUCAGUAAUUAAAUAAGGCUAUUCAAUUUUUCGCUAAUUAGAUCAAGUUGUUGGACGGUCCCUCGUCUCUGUUCUGCUUUCAGGUAUGCUUCUUUAGAUUCUUGGUUGGCAGACCUUGUGGCAACUGCCUCUGGGUAUGGAUCCUAACAGGUGCAAAUUUUUGCCCGCAUUCUUAAGCUGCUGUGUCUUCUGGGUAGUUCGUCUCACUAGCGUGAGGGCAGAUUUGCUCUCCGAAUUUUUGCUUUUAUAUGGUCUGCUCUAACUUGCGCACCGGGUAUGGAUGGACAUUGGAUUAGAACUGUCUCGUGACAUUUUGAACCCUGCUCACCUAACAAGCGGUUGUACAACCUGCAAAGAGAAUUUUUCUCCCUUCACAUAAGCAGCCGAGAACUUCCCAACGGGACCUGAAACUAUGGGGGUUGAGUUUUUAUUCAUCAUUGAAGCAUUUGGGAGGACUCCAUACAGUCACGUUGACAGUUCACAAGAUGCUGCUUAUAUUUGAAUUUGUGGAUCAAUUCAAUCUCAAUUAACCUGCAUAUCGACUAAGCACGGCAAAACGCUGCUGCUUAUGUCUGAAUUUGCGGAUAUGGUGUACAGUUUUGGUUUUGAUUUGGGGUUUGUUUAGGAAUUGGAAUCGAAUCGAAAUUUCAGUAAGAUUUUGAUU